CUCGCGUGUCGUGUCAGCCGCGCGGUAAUACGAAGGGUGCAAGCGUUACUCGGAAUUACUGGGCGUAAAGCGUGCGUAGGUGGUUAUUUAAGUCCGUUGUGAAAGCCCUGGGCUCAACCUGGGAACUGCAGUGGAUACUGGAUGACUAGAAUGUGGUAGAGGGUAGCGGAAUUCCUGGUGUAGCAGUGAAAUGCGUAGAGAUCAGGAGGAACAUCCAUGGCGAAGGCAGCUACCUAGACCAACAUUGACACUGAGGCACGAAAGCGUGGGGAGCAAACAGGAUUAGAUACCCUGGUAGUCCACGCCCUAAACGAUGCGAACUGGAUGUUGGGUGCAAUUUGGCACGCAGUAUCGAAGCUAACGCGUUAAGUUCGCCGCCU
rnacentral:rRNA from 1 species